CAUUCGACAGACCAUAUAUGGUGUCCCAUAAAUCCCUCGGGGGGAUAAUACGUGAAUAAUUAGUUCCAUACAAUGACGAUUCUUGUCAUCGCAUGCGGUAAGGUUGUUUCGCUUAUUCCUCGGUGAAUGAAAGUGUCUCAGUAUCGGUGUCCUGCACAGAGAGCUACAGUAGCCUACACAAUUAACUACGUAUACUUUCGUAUACUUCGUACACUUCGUACAGCAGUAUUCUUGCAUCCACACACUCUCUAUUCCAGCAACCGUUCGUAACGUUCAAACAUACGUAUUGGAUUGCCCCAUAAAAAAUGUUUGGUAGAAUUGCGACUUUUAUUUCAACACGUACUGUACAAACUUUUAAGACAAGGCGCAACAUGUUCGCUACUAUACCCGGAAUGUGCUUAUUUGGCGUGCCAGUGUGGGUUGCUGUUGGACUGCCAUCUUCAGAAGGACAUACCAAGAAGCCGGAUAUUGACAGAGCAACUACAAACGACCAGGACACUUGCUAACAGUAAAUGGACUCAAAGGAUUUGGCGUGUUCGGCGAUUAUGAAACAUUGACCGAGUCAACAUACAAAUGUUAUUCAAUAUAUUUAAGUCGCACAUUAACAUCCAAUGACAAGCGCAAGUUUACCCACACGACUUCCUUCAUUUACACAUCGCACUUGAUAGCUUGCUUGAUAUCCGAAUUUCAGUUUAUAUCGACACGUGUCUUAGUGUAUCAAAAUCAGCGAGUCUGAUUCUUAGAUUGGCAUUAUAUACGCUUAAACGUUGGCUGGUUUUCCAACGGAUUUUAGAAAGUCAAAACUACGCAGGCAGAGUUUUCAUUGAUGGCAUUUUGAUAAUGUAGAAAGUUGAGAAAAGUUUGCAAAGUGAGCUGAAACUAGUGCUCUCCUUGAGUGAGAAACUCUCUUAAUCAUAAUUGUUCGAAUAAUUUGAAAAUAAAUCGAUGAAUUGAAUGUA
rnacentral:lncRNA from 1 species